CAAUAAGCCAUCACUCGCCUCCCACCUCCGAAUCCUCCCAGAUCCCGAGCUGAGCAGAAGCAUCCACCUUCCCCUCGAUUUCUACAUCGAGCAAAUCAACGCUCAAAUCCAGCCAGCCAACCCAAUCCCUCGCCCGUGCCUGCCUCCAAUGCUCCAUUCAGCAGCUCCCUGCGCCUCGACCUCCUCCACCGGGCAAGCAGAGCCACAGGACGCGUGCAUCGCUUGCACCUCCCUGUGUCCACGUGCCUGCAGAGCCGCCUUCUCUGCAACCCACCUCCUCUCCUGUGUCGCGCCAAGCAGGAACAACCACAGUUCUUCGCCGUCUCCGCAGGAGCUCACCCCAUAGCCAGAGCCCGUGCAGCUUCGGCGACCAGCAGUUGGGCGCCAGCUCGCCGGAGCACCUGCAGACCUAUGGCCAUGCCCCCUCUCCUCUCCCCUCCUUACUCUCCUGGUCCUUCACUCUCCUUGAACCCCCCGGUCGUUUCUGUUUUCUUCAGGGAUAAACAGGAAAGGUGGGUCGCCGCAUGAGGAUGAGCUCCUCCGAUGGCAUCGCCUGGCCCUGCCUUCGUCAGGAACAAGACCAACUCCUCAAGUUCCGGCGCCCCAAGCCCCCGAUAUAUAUCGCCCCCGUCACUCUCCGCCAGGACCGCCCCUGUCGCCGUCUCUGCAUCGCCAUGGCGCUGGCCUCUAUUUCCCCCCUGCUGUGAGCCGAUAUCCGAACCGCUUCGGAGUGAGAGGAUCCGCUCGACUAUGUUGGUUUGUGUGCUUCACAUAUUCAUUCUUUUUCCAAACAGGAUGUCAUGCAAGAUGACCAUUUACCUAGAUACCAUUACUAUCAUUGCCAUGCUAGGUGUUUCAUUUCUUCGCUAUGUCUCGCUGCCUACAACCUGUUUAAUUAGCCUUCCUACAUUGUCAUGAAAAGCCACUAACCUUUCCACAACCCGGCAAACCAUAGUUUGGCUAUGUUACCGCUUGCUCAA